UACUACGGGAGGCAGCAGUAGGGAAUCUUCCGCAAUGGACGAAAGUCUGACGGAGCAACGCCGCGUGAGUGAUGAAGGCUUUCGGGUCGUAAAACUCUGUUGUUAGGGAAGAACAAGUGCUAGUUGAAUAAGCUGGCACCUUGACGGUACCUAACCAGAAAGCCACGGCUAACUACGUGCCAGCAGCCGCGGUAAUACGUAGGUGGCAAGCGUUAUCCGGAAUUAUUGGGCGUAAAGCGCGCGCAGGUGGUUUCUUAAGUCUGAUGUGAAAGCCCACGGCUCAACCGUGGAGGGUCAUUGGAAACUGGGAGACUUGAGUGCAGAAGAGGAAAGUGGAAUUCCAUGUGUAGCGGUGAAAUGCGUAGAGAUAUGGAGGAACACCAGUGGCGAAGGCGACUUUCUGGUCUGUAACUGACACUGAGGCGCGAAAGCGUGGGGAGCAAACAGGAUUAAAUACCCUGGUAGUCCACCCCUAAACGAUAAGUGCUAAGUGUUAAAGGGUUUCCGCCCUUUAGGGCUGAAGUUAAC
rnacentral:rRNA from 1 species